GUGGGGAAUAUUGGGCAAUGGGGGCAACCCUGACCCAGCGACGCCGCGUGGGUGAUGAAGGCCUUUGGGUCGUAAAACUCUGUCCUUGGGGAAGAAAAAAAUGACGGUACCCUUGGAGGAAGCCCCGGCUAACUACGUGCCAGCAGCCGCGGUAAUACGUAGGGGGCGAGCGUUAUCCGGAAUUAUUGGGCGUAAAGAGUGCGUAGGUGGUUUUGUAAGCGUAGGGUGAAAGGCAGUAGCUCAACUAUUGUUAGCCCUGCGAACUGUGAGACUUGAGUGCAGGAGAGGAAAGUGGAAUUCCUAGUGUAGCGGUGAAAUGCGUAGAUAUUAGGAGGAACACCAGUGGCGAAGGCGACUUUCUGGACUGUAACUGACACUGAGGCACGAAAGCGUGGGUAGCAAACAGGAUUAGAAACCCGAGUAGUCC
rnacentral:rRNA from 1 species